UGACACCGGGAGAGGCUGGUACACAGCGACGGACUCUCUGUCUCUAAAUAAUGGAGAGAUUAGGCUCCACGUUGGGAUCUGCUUGUUCCUGCUGAAAUCGAUGGAAGUUCUCCUUCACAGCUGAUUGCAGUGGGGGAAAAUGGAUCCAGCUUAUGCAGAAUAAUGACAGGAAGGGGAAUGGGAUGAGACCAUAUCCUGCAAGAACCUGGAGAUUCUCUAAGUCUGCUCACAAUGGACACAGAAACUUCAAACCGCGUUUUUGAGCUCCAGAUCUGAAAACACAAAUAUUGCAAAAGGGUAUUGGUGAUGACACAAGCAGAGAGAAGAAAUAAAUCUCACUGGGACAGUGUAGACAGGAGUGCCUGUUUGCUCUGGAAAGAAUUGGAAGAAGAAGAAAAGAAGAAAAGAAGUGGAUGGCUGCAGUACAUUAAUUGUACAAGAACUGCAAAAUGGCUGAAAACAGAG